rnacentral:rRNA from 1 species
GAGCGCCGUAGCAAUACGGAGCGGCAGACGGGAGAGUAACACGUGGGAACGUACCCUUUGGUUCGGAACAACCCAGGGAAACUUGGGCUAAUACCGGAUAAGCCCUUACGGGGAAAGAUUCAUCGCCGAAGGAUCGGCCCGCGUCUGAUUAGCUAGUUGGUGGGGUAAUGGCCCACCAAGGCGACGAUCAGUAGCUGGUCUGAGGGGAUGAUCAGCCUCACUGGGACUGAGACACGGCCCAGACUCCUACGGGAGGCAGCAGUGGGGAAUAUUGGACAAUGGGCGCAAGCCUGAUCCAGCAAUGCCGCGUGUGUGAAGAAGGCCUUCGGGUUGUAAAGCACUUUUAUCAGGAGCGAAAUGCCAUUGGUUAAUACCCGNGUGGAGCUGACGGUGUGUGAAGAAGCGGCCAGG